UUUAACUUUCUGGCACCAGUUGAUUUAAAAAAAAAAAAAAAAAAACCUUUCCACCGGAGUACCCCUUUAACACGAGACGAUCUGUUCCCUUAUUUGCCCACUACCCUUUUCAUUCGGGCGGCAUGCUUGGUGCAUGGACGGCCCUCCAGGAGCACACUGACAAAUACACUACAGCUUCCUCAGUUGGCCCAGCUGCGAGCAGGCCUGAAGAAGCAGCAAUUGGGAUGUCAGCGUCCUUCUGGAGCACCAAGUCUGCCGCCCAAAUAAGGAAGUUAAUGGGCGAACGGCGUCAAGGAUCUCCCUGUCAGAAGUAUAAUUUUCAUCAGUGUCACGCACACUACAAGCCUGUACCAACAGGUGAGGGUUACGCUAAUGACAGAUUCCCUUUUAAAACUAUAUAAAGUAUCACAACAACAAAAAGGUCCAACUCUUAAGUGAGAAACACAAGGUGGUGGGUGCCAAUAUAUGAUGAGAUGCUGUCACCCAAAGCGAAUCACCAAAACAUUCCCAGUAAAGCGAGGUCCCAACAGGUUUCCCCUAUGCAGUUAGAAGGUUAAUCAGGGGGCCAAGGCUGGAAUAGCACAAGCACAGGCUACAUAUAUAACUUAAGACACAUACUAAGGGAAAUGAACAGAUAAAAAGGCAAGUAUUAUGUAAAGAAGUAUGUAGAUAUUGGUUACUAAUAGGCGCUAUAAAAGCCACUCAUGCAUAGCCUUGUGCCAUAUGUGUGACUGUGCUUGGUAUACAGUACCCAAUACUUUAGUAUCUCUUUACAUCAUUACAUUCAUUUUGUGUCUUUGUUCUUGUCCCUUUAUUAUUUGUGGCUUGGUUUAAUGUAUGUGGUAUAGGAGAAACAUGUUGGGACUUCUUUGCUGGGAGCAGCAGUAAGCUUCCUAUUUUGAUACAUUUGCAUCCAGCACCCACCAGCUUGUGUGCAUCACCAUUUUUAUUGUGGUUCUUAGUUUUAAUGCAUUUUAAUACAGUGCAUUUUAAUAUGCCAUGAUACGAUUCUGUGAGCCUCUAGCAUUUUUGCAUAUUGCAGUUGUGUGUUUCUGUUAUGUGAUUCUUUUUUCAAUGAUAGAGACAGCCUAUAAUGUGCACUGAAGGAUGGGGCAACUCUUAACUAGAUAUAAAUAUAAAUACCUAUACAGUUAACCCCUAAACUUACAAUGUCCUCAAACUACAAUAUUUUCAGCAUACAACUCGACAUACAAUGCUAUGGACAGUCCAAAUCUGUAAAACAUGUCAAUGGCUUGAAGAUCUGACCAAUCAGAACGGGCAUUUCACCUGGUAUAUCACUUGUAUUACUGAAGUGCAUGCACUGACUGGUAGCGCCCACUACAGUACAGGGUGGUAUUACAUGUUCUGUACUCUUUACCUGUGCCAGGGUUAGCUGCUCCUUUGGUUAGCUGCACCAGGUGAGGCUGGUUCCAUUUUACUUUUUUGGGACAUUGGCCCAGAUUUAACAAACUCUGUGAUUGGUUACUGUGGGAAAAUCAUUCUAUUUUUUUUUCUUUCAUACAGUUUGAUAAAUCUGGGCCAUUGUGUGUACUGUACAGGACCCUGAAGAAGCUCCCGUCCUCUACAUAGACAGUGAUUUACAGCUUCCAGCAGAUCUUUCUUACUUUUAUAUGUAAGGAUUUGCUUUAUCUGUAUUAGUUAUCUACUUAUUCCUCACUUUUUCCAAUUUUUGAUGACAUUUUGGGGCUUUAGAACCAAUUACCAGGUUUCCACAGUUAUGUUCUCAACAUACAAUGGUUUCAACUUACAAUGGCUGUCCUGGAAGUGAUUCAUAUUGUAACUUGAGGGACCACUGUAUAAACAUUCUCUGUACAGUAAAUGCUAAAGGAUUUGAGAACCUGGAAUCUGAGUGCGGAGAAAUUAGCAAGAGAAUUGUGAAUGCAGCUCUGGGUGUGAUUCAACACUCAAACUGAAAAUGACCUCCUGUACACUGACCUGUGAGAUUCUAUAAUCCGUAUCAUGCACAGAUCCGCAGGAGCCUCUUAUGAAGCCAAACAAAUAUCUUCUGCUUCUCAUGUAGUAAUAUAUGAUAUGUUUCCGCUGUCCUCUACCUGCCAGGAGUAAACGUUGCCAGUGUUGGGGUCCCGGAAUCUGUGUCUAGUAUCUGAGGGGGGGGGGGUUACUGGGUUGGGGUCGGGGUGACGCUGAGGUCCCUCUGAACAUUUGCAGAGGAGAAAAUUCAUAUUUUGUUUGUAGCAUGUCAUUAUGUAUGUUUGAAUAUUACCUAACGUGAAACAAAGCCAGACAGAUGUUAAGUUAUCUGAACCACUACUGUAAAAUAAAUGUUUUGGUGCAGGAACCUCUCUUUGGA